rnacentral:rRNA from 1 species
GACAGAGGGUGCAAACGUUGUUCGGAAUCACUGGGCGUAAAGCGUGUGUAGGUGGUGCGAAAAGCCAGGCGUGAAAGCCCGGGGCUCAACCCCGGAAGUGCGCUUGGAACUGUCGCGCUAGAGUCUUGGAGAGGUAAGCGGAAUUCCAGGUGUAGAGGUGAAAUUCGUAGAUAUCUGGAAGAACACCAGCGGCGAAGGCGGCUUACUGGACAAAGACUGACACUGAGACACGAAAGCGUGGGGAGCAAACAGG